rnacentral:pre_miRNA from 1 species
AAAAAGACAAACCCUGAGUUUCCGCGCCAACGUUUAACUGUCCGUCUUAUAUGAAAUAUUUUUAUAAUUAGUAUUUUUAUUAUUGUUAGAUGAUAAAACAUAAUUAAUACUUUAUGCGUGACUUAUUUUUUUAAUUUUUUU